rnacentral:rRNA from 2 species
ACACAUGCAGUCGAACGAUGAAGCCAGCUUGCUGGUGGAUUAGUGGCGAACGGGUGAGUAACACGUGAGUAACCUGCCCUUGACUCUGGGAUAAGCCUGGGAAACCGGGUCUAAUACUGGAUACGACCUUCCCACGCAUGUGGUGUUGGUGGAAAGCUUUUGUGGUUUUGGAUGGACUCGCGGCCUAUCAGCUUGUUGGUGGGGUAAUGGCCUACCAAGGCGACGACGGGUAGCCGGCCUGAGAGGGUGACCGGCCACACUGGGACUGAGACACGGCCCAGACUCCUACGGGAGGCAGCAGUGGGGAAUAUUGCACAAUGGGCGCAAGCCUGAUGCAGCGACGCCGCGUGAGGGAUGAAGGCCUUCGGGUUGUAAACCUCUUUCAGUAGGGAAGAAGCUGAUCUUUUGGGUUGGUGACGGUACCUGCAGAAGAAGCGCCGGCUAACUACGUGCCAGCAGCCGCGGUAAUACGUAGGGCGCAAGCGUUAUCCGGAAUUAUUGGGCGUAAAGAGCUCGUAGGCGGUUUGUCGCGUCUGCCGUGAAAGUCCGGGGCUUAACCCCGGAUCUGCGGUGGGUACGGGCAGACUAGAGUGCAGUAGGGGAGACUGGAAUUCCUGGUGUAGCGGUGAAAUGCGCAGAUAUCAGGAGGAACACCGAUGGCGAAGGCAGGUCUCUGGGCUGUAACUGACGCUGAGGAGCGAAAGCAUGGGGAGCGAACAGGAUUAGAUACCCUGGUAGUCCAUGCCGUAAACGUUGGGCACUAGGUGUGGGGG